CUACGGGUCGCUGCAGUGGGGAAUAUUGCACAAUGGAGGGAACUCUGAUGCAGCAACGCCGCGUGGAGGAUGACGCAUUUCGGUGUGUAAACUCCUUUUAUAUAGGAAGAUAAUGACGGUACUAUAUGAAUAAGCACCGGCUAACUCCGUGCCAGCAGCCGCGGUAAUACGGAGGGUGCAAGCGUUACUCGGAAUCACUGGGCGUAAAGCGCAUGCAGGCGGUUAAAUAAGUUGGAAGUGAAAUCCUAUGGCUCAACCAUAGAACUGCUUCCAAAACUGUUUAACUAGAGUCUGGGAGGGAAGAUGGAAUUAGUAGUGUAGGGGUAAAAUCCGUAGAGAUUACUAGGAAUACCCAAAGCGAAGGCGAUCUUCUGGAACAGUACUGACGCUGAGAUGCGAAAGCGUGGGGAGCAAACAGGAUUAGAUACCCCCGUAGUC
rnacentral:rRNA from 1 species